GGACUACAAGGGUAUCUAAUCCUGUUUGCUCCCCACGCUUUCGUGUUUCAACGUCAGAAAUGGACCAAGAAGCUGCCUUCGCCAUCGGUGUUCCUCUCGAGAUCUACGCAUUUUACCGCUACUCCGAGAAUUCCACUUCUCUCUUCCACCCUCUAGCAUGCCAGUAUUCACUGCAUAUUCCCGGUUAAGCCAGGAGAUUUAACAACAAACUUAACAUACCGUCUACACACCCUUUACGCCCAAUAAUUCCGAAUAACGCUUGCACCCCUCGUCUUACCGCGGCUGCUGGCAC
rnacentral:rRNA from 1 species